rnacentral:lncRNA from 1 species
CUUAGGACUACUCUGUGGGUCAGGAAUUCAGGAAGGCUUCAUUGGGUGAUUUGUCUUUGACCUAUGUGGUAAUAACUGGGAUGGCUGGGGCCAGAGGAUCCGCUUAGAAGAUAGCUUCUUCACUCAUACCCAUAGCCCCUCAGUGUUCUGUGGCCUCUCUCUCUUUACCUGGCAUCCUUAGGUUGCCUGCAGGUGGCUUGAGUUUCUCUCAGUGUGGUGGUUUCAGGGCAGUCAAUUUGCUUACAUGGAAGCUGACUUUCUCAGUGGGACCAUUUCAAGAGUGAUUGUUCUAAGAGAUCAAGGCAGAAGUUUCAAGGCUUUAUAUGAACUGGCUUCAGAAAUCACAUAGUAUCAUUUCUGGUACACUCUGUUGGUUACACAGGGUCAACUCAAAUUCACUAUGGGAAGGGAUGACAAAAGGAAGAGAGUACAGGGAGGCAUGGUUCAUUGGAAGUUAUUUUGGAGAUCAGCUAUCAUAGCAAUUGAUUGCCCACGAUUUUCUGUUUUUUGUUUUUUUUCCUUAAAUCUCCUGACCUACUGAAAUUUGCCAGGUUAAAAUCUCAGAGCUUACUGACCCUGGGAAAUGCUAUCCAAAGAGAUCAUGUAGAGCUGGUAUCAGAGGAUUUUUCAAGGUUAUUUUAGGAGCUGGUGCAUCCUGACAUUCAAAGAAUACACACAUUUCUUUUCACUAAGUUCUCAUAUAAAUGCCAUGACAGGCAGUGAGAUAGACUUAGAGUAUUCCUGGCCUCAGGAGGUGGGACUUCCAUGAGGAACUGCUAUCUUAACCUCUAUCCUGUUCACUGCCUCUCCACAAAGGAGAAAGGGUCUAAGAUUUUAAAUAUGUGCCAGGCACACACUUAGCACAUACAUACAUGUUAGUGGUGAAUCCUCCCAAAGACCGGUGAGAUAGACUGUAUUAUACUCAUUUCAUAAUUGAAGAACCUCUGGUUCUGCUAAGCCACUAGCCUGAUGUCACACAGCAGGUAAGUGGCAACCCUGAGCUUUAAACCUAAAUCUUCUGGUUUUAAAGCACAUUGUUCUUCUACAGCACAAGAAACUGAACUGAUGUAGCAUUAUUCUGUACUUUAUUAAGGUUCAAAUUUCACUGAGCAUAUAACUGUAUACUAACUACUGUCGAAAUAUAUUUUGAAUUAGAAAUGUACAUACCUGUAAGUCUCAAAAAAAUUCUAUCAGCUUUGGCCUGGGCUCUCCAGAGUGCUCUUGGAGAUGUGCAACACUUUCCAAUUAGCAUUCUCUUUGGCCUGAUGGAUGAGGAGAAUGGGGAUGGUCAGCUAUCUCUUUUAUCCAAAUAUGAGGUCCCCAGUGUUAGAGGUCUCACUCUGGCUUUCAGUGGGGCAAAUGUUCAUGAGCACACUACCGUUGAGCAUGGCUUGCUUAGUGAGCCCAUAGGAAAUCAGGAAAUUCACAAUGAUAAAGAAUGAUGGAAUAACUGAGAUGCAUGGUAUUUUUCUUAGACCUCUUAAGAGACUGGCAACAAAUUGGGGCUUGAUGGAAAUUAAUUUACAUGAGUCAAGAAAAACCAGAGGACAGGUAGUAGGAUUGAUAAUGUCAAAGUAGGAGGAGAAGAGGAAGAAUCAUAUAUUAAAGGAGAGGUGAGAAAUGGCCAUACAUUGCAAUUGGCUCAAGGCAGAGAAAAGUUAAUUCUACACUUUAUAAUAGCACUACCAAUUAUUCACUGUCGGUACUAAGAAAUAUUUGUCAGCUCUCAACUUGUAAGUGGAGAUAAAUCUUACAUGUUCAGUUGUGUCAGGUUAUCAUCUGGUCUACACUAAUUGAAUUUGUAAUAGACCAGCCUGAGUCCUGACUCUCCACAAAGCUUCUCCUGACUACUCCCUCACGUGCUGAUUCAUGAACUUACGUCGUUACCCUACGGAGCUUUAUCUGAUUAAUUCACUAGAUUAUGAGUCUUGAGGCAACAGUUCUUUCACUAUACUUUUCCACCUCCCUACCCUUGCUCAACAUGUACACAUACACACUCACAUGCUCAUACACACACACUCACACACACAUUCACACUCACACAAUAUACUCACACACUCACACACCACACACUCACAGGCACAUACCCUUUUCUUCCAGCACAGGCCUAAAUCCUUAGGAAGCACAUAAUAAACACUGGAUGAAAGAACUGGGUUCCACACACUCAAAAACAUUUAAUGCAGAACAAUGCAUAGCCGUUAACUAAUUCAUCGAUGAUGCCAGUCUAAUUUCAGGUGUUAUUGCUAGGCCUGUUAAGCUUGGCCAGUUAGCUAUCAGCUCUGUUGAUGUUUGUAGCUUCUCUUAGAUGAACAUUUCCCAGAGUGAUUGCUCCGGAAUGUUACUUUGGAAUGUUCACACAUUAUAUGCAGUGUUGGGAGAUCUACAGUUCAUACUAGUAUAUUAAAUGCCCUGAGAAGACCUGCAGGAAAGGAAGCCAUUGUCUGAGUGAACAUUUUCCAAAUUAAUUUAUUUGACCAUAGGUUAUCUCUUAAGACAGCAGCACCUAUUUAUUUUCCAGGAAAGUAGUGUUUCCUGAAAUACAUUUCAGGAAAUCAUGGCCCACAAACCCCUGCUUUGAUUCUUUAUCUUCCUUGUUCUUGUGCUUGGUACUAUCUACCUCCCUGUGCCUCAGGCCCAGGGCUUACCUUCUUGCUUCUGAGUGGAUAGAAGCUCUGAGAACCUACAGAAAGAUGCCCCUUUAGGCUAACUUAGCAUUGUUUCAGGCUAGGAGGGGCCCCAGAAAUACCAUGUCCAAUCUUUCAUUUCAGAAACGAGGACAUAGAUGCAGAUGAGGAGAAGUCCAUUGAACACACUCAAGUUAGAACUGCAACUAAAACCCAGGCCUCUAAGUUCCAAAGAAAGAACAUUUCUCCCCUUCUAUUUUUCCUCCAUUCAUAGCGAAGCAGUUUCCUAGAGAGCCAGCAUUUGGGCCCUGCUGGCUUCAUUGAAAGUAGGCAGGCUCAAAAGCUGGAUAUAAUUAGUGAUUUUGAGGAGUUCAAUGCAUGUCCUGGAAAUGGAGAAGAUUGGCAACUGGAGCCCAUACUUUGGCAGAGGCUGAAUGCUGCUUCUAAAACUCCUGGAACAAUAUAGUGCAUUAGCUGGUCCGCCUCCACCUUGAAAUAAAGGCUUCUGGCUCCCAUGGGCUGGGCAAGGCAGAAAGGGAACAACUUGAUUUUCAAAUAAAGACCUUCUUUGAAAAAUUUCCCAGGGGACAUGAUUUGUGGGAUCAUAGCCCAGUGCACUUCUUCCACCAGACACCCUGGUUUUGGAAUAAGGGCACUGAGGCCUAGAGAGGCUUAUAUUAUUGAGGGUUAGGAAUACAUUUUGAGAUAGCCAUCUUAGAGUUAAGCUUUGUUUCCUAGUUUUAUAAAUAAAACCAUUGCUCCUCGAUGAAUCAUAAUGCAGCAUAGUAUUAAGUGUUCAAGGUUAGGUAUAGGAAGCUCAACAGUGUGGAAAAUGUAAAUAUGAUUUCUCAUAUUUUCUUGCUUAAUUGCUAGAUAGCAAGUCUCAGGCAUUACUCAGAACCACAGCGGAUGUGGGAGAUCCUAAAAUAGAUUCUUUCCCUUUGUCAGAUCAUACAUUGCAAUGGAGAAGGGCACAGCCAGGUAGUCUGGCUGAUCACAGGUUUGUAUUGAGUCAAGUCCGGUAAACUCAGGUAAAAAUAACAGCAAAGCACCCUCUAGUCCUGGGUCAUUCGCUAUUUAAGUAAGCAAAGAGAAUCAAUUCAGUGACCAUGUAAGAAGCACCUACUUUAGGUUUGGCUAUGCUAAUGAUGAGGCAUCAACAUUUAAGGCACACUCAAUCUCUAGGUGAUGAGCUGUAUAUAAAGAGAUGAGGCACUGGUCUUUUUUUUUUUUUUCUCCUUUUCUUUUCAAUGAGCCAAUAUUACAUUGGUGACUAAAAAUUGUAACAACAUGUGCCCUUCUAGCGAUGAAACUGCUUAAGACAUCAAGGCUCUGCUUUCAUUUUGUCCUCCCAUAGACCCUUACUCUCUUGCCUAGGUUUUCAGCUAAAUAUUUUGAAAUAGGGACUUAUGAUUAGACUAAAAUUCCAGAACAUAAUCUAUAUCUAAUGUCUUCUGUGUGAUGCGUCAACUAUUAUUAGACUACUGUUUAAAAUGCU